CCUACGGGAGGCAGCAGUGAGGAAUAGUGGUCAAGGGACGAGAGUCUGAACCAGCCAAGUAGCGUGAAGGAUGACUGCCCUAUGGGUUGUAAACUUCUUUUAUAAAGGAAUAAAACGAGGCACGUGUGCCUUUUUGCAUGGACUUUAUGAAUAAGGAUCGGCUAACGCCGUGCCAGCAGCCGCGGUAAUACGGAGGAUCCGAGCGUUAUCCGGAUUUAUUGGGGUUAAAGGGAGCGUAGAUGGGUUGUUAAGUCAGUUGUGAAAGUUUGCGGCUCAACCGUAAAAUUUCCAUUGUUACUGGCAGUCUUGAGUACAGUUGCGGUCGGCGGAAUUCGUGGUGUAGCGG
rnacentral:rRNA from 1 species